CAUUUAUUGACUAAGAACUUUUAUGUUGUAAAUAUUUAUCUUGUUUAUUUCUUUCCUUGUUUACAAGAAAAUAGAUGACUCGAGUGUUCCAAACUAUAGUUUUUAAGGAAUAAUGUGAAAUAAGUUAAUUUUUAUAGGAUAAAAAACUUAAUCUACAUGAUAACUUAAUAACAUUAGUUCUACCAGACACUAACUUAGUUUUAUAGAUGAUCCUGGAGCAAAGGCUGUAAUUUAACCUGAACCCAAAUUGGUCUCUUUUUUAAAUAUUGUCUUGAACCAAUAAGUUAAGAGGACUAACUUUUCUGGACGACAUUGCCAUCGACAUCACUGCAGAUGAGAGAGAAAGAGAGACCAAAGUUGUGUACCCUGGAGGCAAUUACCAUACUGCUGUGAUAAUGUUCCUUGGUCUAACCAUAACUUAAGUGAGAGUUGAAGCCUACCAGUAAAAUGGGGGUGUUGCAAUUAAUAUCCUCCGACACUGGAGGAUACAGGGGAGAGGUGUCAGAGGAAGAGCAGAUGGAGGAUGGGGCCAGUUUAAGACUAAGAUUGAAGAAAACUAACUUAUGGCCUGAUGACAGGGUGGAUGUCGAUGGAGUCAUGGAGGUUGGGGGAGAGAAGGCUGAAGAAGUGAAGACAAAUCAGUUUAGAUUCAUUAUAAUGAUUAGUUUAACAUUUAUUUUGAAUACCAGUAUACUUUUAUUUACAUUUUUUUCCCAUUUAGAUUAUUUAAUUAAGAAAAUUUUAUUAUUUUUAUAAAGAUGUUUUCUUAAAUUUUUAAUAUUUGUUUGUACUUCUGCCUGGUAAAAAACAAAACUGUUUAUUAUGUUUGUUAAGAUGAUUACUUCCACUUAUGGACCUUGUCUUGGGUGAAAAGAGAUAUCUUGAUAUUUAACUAGCAGGGUGCCUGUUCUAUCUAUGGGUGGGGAUCGUAUAAGUCAGUUGAAACCUUCUUAUAUUUCGAUAUUUGGUAAAUUAAUCAUUUCCAACUUUAUAUAGUAUAGAUCGCUAUUUCUGUAUUGAUGUACUGAAAUGAAUAAAAUUAUAUGAA